CUACAAUGAAAAACCAGGUGCCAAGAAGGAAGUCAAGUGCCGGAGUAGACACAUAGGAAAUGCCAAAGUGUUGCAUGCUCGGUUCCACGCUGAAAUGCUCUAGAAUCAUUUCUGGUUAGAAGCUACAAGUCUAAGCUUCUGAGUAAAGGUGCCUGGGAUUUGGUGCAAAUCGUGAAACCGAACAUCUACCGUGAGUGACUUGGCAAUUACUGGUUCAACUGCACAAACAUCUCAAUCAUAUGAUAAAUCAAAGUAAGCAAUUUAACAUUCUGGGAGGGAGUUUGCAGAUGCAAACGGUGAGAAGCUCGUAGAAUCAUUUCUGGUUAGAAGCUACAAGUCUAAGCUUCUGAGUAAAGGUGCCUGGGAUUUGGUGCAAAUCGUGAAACCGAACAUCUACCGUGAGUGACUUGGCAAUUACUGGUUCAACUGCACAAACAUCUCAAUCAUAUGAUAAAUCAAAGUAAGCAAUUUAACAUUCUGGGAGGGAGUUUGCAGAUGCAAACGGUGAGAAGCUCGCCGCCGAUUCGCUGUACCGGAGUGGAUGCUGUUGAUGACUGGAAGAACCAAUAAAACUUGCUGUUGACUCACUAUACCGGAGUGUACGUUGUUGGUGACUGGAAGAACCAAUAUAACUCACUGAAGCAUUGCUUGGACUCGGAAUGUGUGGAGACA
rnacentral:lncRNA from 1 species